rnacentral:rRNA from 1 species
UGCAAGUCGAACGAUGAUCCCAGCUUGCUGGGGGAUUAGUGGCGAACGGGUGAGUAACACGUGAGUAACCUGCCCUUGACUCUGGGAUAAGCCUGGGAAACUGGGUCUAAUACCGGAUAUGACCAUCUGGCGCAUGUCAUGGUGGUGGAAAGCUUUUGUGGUUUUGGAUGGACUCGCGGCCUAUCAGCUUGUUGGUGGGGUAAUGGCCUACCAAGGCGACGACGGGUAGCCGGCCUGAGAGGGUGACCGGCCACACUGGGACUGAGACACGGCCCAGACUCCUACGGGAGGCAGCAGUGGGGAAUAUUGCACAAUGGGCGCAAGCCUGAUGCAGCGACGCCGCGUGAGGGAUGACGGCCUUCGGGUUGUAAACCUCUUUCAGUAGGGAAGAAGCGUAAGUGACGGUACCUGCAGAAGAAGCGCCGGCUAACUACGUGCCAGCAGCCGCGGUAAUACGUAGGGCGCAAGCGUUAUCCGGAAUUAUUGGGCGUAAAGAGCUCGUAGGCGGUUUGUCGCGUCUGCUGUGAAAGACCGGGGCUCAACUCCGGUUCUGCAGUGGGUACGGGCAGACUAGAGUGCAGUAGGGGAGACUGGAAUUCCUGGUGUAGCGGUGAAAUGCGCAGAUAUCAGGAGGAACACCGAUGGCGAAGGCAGGUCUCUGGGCUGUAACUGACGCUGAGGAGCGAAAGCAUGGGGAGCGAACAGGAUUAGAUACCCUGGUAGUCCAUGCCGUAAACGUUGGGCACUAGGUGUGGGGGACAUUCCACGUUUUCCGCGCCGUAGCUAACGCAUUAAGUGCCCCGCCUGGGGAGUACGGCCGCAAGGCUAAAACUCAAAGGAAUUGACGGGGGCCCGCACAAGCGGCGGAGCAUGCGGAUUAAUUCGAUGCAACGCGAAGAACCUUACCAAGGCUUGACAUGAACCGGAAAGACCUGGAAACAGGUGCCCCGCUUGCGGUCGGUUUACAGGUGGUGCAUGGUUGUCGUCAGCUCGUGUCGUGAGAUGUUGGGUUAAGUCCCGCAACGAGCGCAACCCUCGUUCUAUGUUGCCAGCGCGUGAUGGCGGGGACUCAUAGGAGACUGCCGGGGUCACUCGGAGGAAGGUGGGGACGACGUCAAAUCAUCAUGCCCCUUAUGUUUGGGCUUCCGCAUGCUACAUUGGCCGGUACAAAGGUU